rnacentral:rRNA from 1 species
AAGUUGAUCAUGGCUCAGAUUGAACGCUGGCGGCAUGCCUUACACAUGCAAGUCGAACGGCAGCACGGGAGCAAUCCUGGUGGCGAGUGGCGAACGGGUGAGUAAUACAUCGGAACGUGCCCAGUAGUGGGGGAUAACCCGGCGAAAGCCGGACUAAUACCGCAUACGACCUACGGGUGAAAGCGGGGGAUCGCAAGACCUCGCGCUAUUGGAGCGGCCGAUGUCAGAUUAGCUUGUUGGUGGGGUAAAAGCCUACCAAGCAACGAUCUGUAGCUGGUCUGAGAGGACGACCAGCCACACUGGGACUGAGACACGGCCCAGACUCCUACGGGAGGCAGCAGUGGGGAAUUUUGGACAAUGGGCGCAAGCCUGAUCCAGCCAUGCCGCGUGCGGGAAGAAGGCCUUCGGGUUGUAAACCGCUUUUGUCAGGGAAGAAACGCUUUGGGCUAAUACCCUGGAGUAAUGACGGUACCUGAAGAAUAAGCACCGGCUAACUACGUGCCAGCAGCCGCGGUAAUACGUAGGGUGCAAGCGUUAAUCGGAAUUACUGGGCGUAAAGCGUGCGCAGGCGGCUUUGCAAGACAGAUGUGAAAUCCCCGGGCUUAACCUGGGAACUGCAUUUGUGACUGCAUGGCUGGAGUGCGGCAGAGGGGAAUGGAAUUCCGCGUGUAGCAGUGAAAUGCGUAGAUAUGCGGAGGAACACCGAUG